rnacentral:rRNA from 1 species
CAUGUAGGCGGUUUUGUAAGCUUGGCGUGAAAGACCACGGCUCAACCGUGGGGUUGCGUUGAGAACUGCGAAGCUUGAGUUAUGGAGAGGGAGCUAGAAUUCCCGGUGUAGGGGUGGAAUCUGUAGAGAUCAGGAAAAAUACCAAUGGCGAAGGCAAGCUCCUGGCCGAUGACUGACGCUGAGGUGCGAAAGUGUGGGGAUCAAACA